UACAACUGGGACAAUCAUUUUGCUGUUUGGAAUUCAACUCCCAAUUAUCAAGUGAUUGCUGAUAAUCUUGAAGGCUUACUUUUCAAAUACAAAAGAGACAGAAAAAUUCUCAAUGUGGAUCCAAAGGUUCCCCCAGGUGACAACUCUACUAGAAUCCCUAUCCAGACAGAUCUCUACAUGCAAUCUGUCAUUUUCGACCACAUUUCCAGAAGAAAGACUUAACUACCAACCUGUCAGAAGGUCCCCCUAAUGGGCUUGCUAAAUUUAAGUGAAUGCUGUAACCAGAAGCAAAUUAGAAUAAUAAAUGAGUCCUGUAGCUGGAAGGCAAUGUCUUUGAUUGUGGGAAAUUAAAGCAUUUGGUAGUCAAGGGGCAUCAAGUCAGCAAAUUGUUUAUAAAUAUUUCAGGGGGACAAAGGUCUUUUUGCUGUACUUGAAAGUUCUGUAAUUCUGAGAUUAUUUUGAAAUAAAAUGUCUUUGAUUUAUUCCA